GCCGGGCGUGGUGGUGGGCGUCUGUAAUCCCAGCUACUUGGGAGGCUGAGGCAGGAGAAUUGCUUGAACCCAGGAGGUGGAGGUUGCAGUGAGCCGAGUUCGUGCCACUGCACUCCAGCCUGGGCAACAGAGCAAGACUCCGCCUCUA
rnacentral:SRP_RNA from 2 species